rnacentral:rRNA from 1 species
GGGAAGUUUUCCGUCAAUGGGCGAAAGCCUGACGGAGCAAUGCCGCGUGGAGGUGGAAGGCCUACGGGUCGUCAACUUCUUUUCUCGGAGAAGAAACAAUGACGGUAUCUGAGGAAUAAGCAUCGGCUAACUCUGUGCCA